rnacentral:rRNA from 1 species
GAUCCUGGCUCAGGACGAACGCUGGCGGCGCGCCUAACACAUGCAAGUCGAACGGAGCUUAGAGAGCUUGCUUUUUAAGCUUAGUGGCGAACGGGUGAGUAACGCGUGAGUAACCUGCCCUAGAGUGGGGGACAACAGUUGGAAACGACUGCUAAUACCGCAUAAGCCCACGGUGCCGCAUGACACUGAGGGAAAAGGAUUUAUUCGCUUUAGGAUGGACUCGCGUCCAAUUAGCUAGUUGGUAAGGUAACGG